CCUACGGGGUCAGCAGUGGGGAAUAUUGCACAAUGGGGGAAACCCUGAUGCCACGACGCCGCGUGAGUGAAGAAGUAAUUCGUUAUGUAAAGCCCUAUCCGCAGGGAAGAAAAUGACGGUACCUUAGUAAGAAGCCCCGGCUAACUACGUGCCAGCCGCCGCGGUAAUACGGAGGGGGCCAGCGUUAUCCGGAUUUCCUGGGUGUAAAGGGAGCGUAGACGGCAGUGCAAGUCUGGAGUGAAAGGCAGGGGCUCAACCCCCGGACUGCUCUGGAAACUGUACGGCUGGAGUGCAGGAGAGGUAAGUGGAAUUCCUAGUGUAGCGGUGAAAUGCGUAGAUAUUAGGAGGAACACCAGUGGCGAAGGCGGCUUACUGGACUGUAACUGACGUUGAGGCUCGAAAGCGUGGGGAGCAAACAGGAUUAGAUACCCUUGUAGUC
rnacentral:rRNA from 1 species